AGACUCAUCUACGAGGCGCAGUGAUGGAACAGCAGGACGUGUGAUUGGCACAGAAAACCUGAAAGAGCUUCGAACUCUAAUCAUCCAUCUGAGAGAGCUGGGAGCUCCAGCUGCAGUACCUCUGGAUGAGGUUUCCUCUGUGGACGUCUCCCAUCAGACUCUGGACCAGGGCUUGUUCCACGUGCUGCUCAGAGCGUCCCUGUCUCUGUCCUCCAUCAAUCACCUGCUGCAGUCUCCUGCUGAGAGGACGCAUGAGGAGGAGGAGGCUCAGCUGAGGCUCCAGCUGCUGCAGAGUCUGUCGGCCGAGCUGGCGACCCUUGGCGAGGAGCUGAGCUCGCGGGGGUCAAAGGUCACGAC